rnacentral:misc_RNA from 1 species
GAUGAAGAACGCAGCGAAAUGCGAUACGUAAUGUGAAUUGCAAAUUCAGUGAAUCAUCGAGUCUUUGAACGCACAUUGCGCCCCCUGGUAUUCCGGGGGGCAUGCCUGUCCGAGCGUCAUUGCUGCCCUCAAGCACGGCUUGUGUGUUGGGCCCCGUCCUCCGAUCCCGGGGGACGGGCCCGAAAGGCAGCGGCGGCACCGCGUCCGGUCCUCGAGCGUAUGGGGCUUUGUCACCCGCUCUGUAGGCCCGGCCGGCGCUUGCCGAUCAACCCAAAUUUUUAUCCAGGUUGACCUCGGAUCAGGUAGGGAUACCCGCUGAACUUAAGCAAAUCAAUAAGCGGAGGA